rnacentral:rRNA from 1 species
UACGUAGGGGCAAGCGUUGUCCGGAAUCAUUGGGCGUAAAGAGCGUGUAGGCGGCCUGGUAAGUCCGCUGUGAAAGUCCAGGGCUCAACCCUGGAAUGCCGGUGGAAACUGUCAGGCUCGAGUCCGGAAGAGGCGAGUGGAAUUCCUGGUGUAGCGGUGAAAUGCGCAGAUAUCAGGAGGAACACCGGUGGCGAAGGCGGGUCUCUGGGCCGAUACUGACGCUGAGGAGCGAAAGCGUGGGGAGCGAACAGG